rnacentral:sRNA from 1 species
AUCAAAAACACAUAGUUUCAUCUCAAUUUUUCUCUCUUCCCUAGAGUUUAACACAAACAAAUAUAUGCAUGUGAGGGGUAUAGUGAUUGAUCUAGUUGCACAUCACGUGUUUGAUGAAAUGAAGUUGUGACUAAUGGAUGUAACCGGUGACAGUAUAAUGAAUCUUGACCAAAGAAUUGCUGGAGCAUUAGAUAAAGAGUGUCCCUAAAGGUCAAGGCACUGUUAGAAUGAUGAUCACCAGAGAGGAGUGUGAGAAGUUGAGAGAUCAAGCCCCGGACUCAAUUUGGAUGGAGGAUGUAAAGGAUUGGACAACUGAUGUUCUCAUUGAUGCUCUUCACAGAGUAGAAGAAUAUGUGAUGUGAUGGGAUCGAAUCAUUUUGCUACAGUUACCCUCAUAUUCACCAAGGAGAAUUGCACUCUUUUAGCAAAUGUGAAUUAAGGAAUGGCUCAUUUUGUUAUAUCUUUUGCUGAGUGUAUAGGAUAAGUGCUGUGUACGCUCAUCAUAGCAGAAACUUUGAUCAGAGAAGUAACUAAAUUAGACAAGGUUAAUAGAAUUGGAGAUACCUGUGUCAUUCAUAAAUAAUGUAUUAGUUGGUUGGUUGGUUUUGUAUAUUGACACAUUACCAGUCAAUAAUAGUUUCUUGAUUUAAAAGUAACGUUUUUUUUAUAUUUGAUUUCU